rnacentral:rRNA from 1 species
UUUGUAUAAUGGGUCAGCGACUUAUAUUCAGUGGCAAGGUUAACCAUCUAGGGGAGCCGUAGGGAAACCGAGUCUUAACUGGGCGUUCAGUCUCUGGAUAUAGACCCGAAACCAGGUGAUCUAGCCAUGGGCAGGUUGAAGGUUGAGUAACAUCAACUGGAGGACCGAACCGACUAAUGUUGAAAAAUUAGCGGAUGACUUGUGGCUAGGGGUGAAAGGCCAAUCAAACCUGGAGAUAGCUGGUUCUCCCCGAAAGCUAUUUAGGUAGCGCCUCGGACGAAUACUACUGGGGGUAGAGCACUGUUAAGGCUAGGGGGUCAUCCCGACUUACCAACCCUUUGCAAACUCCGAAUACCAGUAAGUACUAUCCGGGAGACACACGGCGGGUGCUAACGUCCGUCGUGGAGAGGGAAACAACCCAGACCGCCAGCUAAGGUCCCAAAUUACUACUAAGUGGGAAACGAUGUGGGAAGGCUCAGACAGCCAGGAUGUUGGCUUAGAAGCAGCCAUCAUUUAAAGAAAGCGUAAUAGCUCACUGGUCGAGUCGGCCUGCGCGGAAGAUGUAACGGGGCUAAGUAGUAAACCGAAGCUGCGGCAAUAUACUUUUGUAUAUUGGGUAGGGGAGCGUUCUGUAAGCGGUUGAAGGUGUGUGGUAACGCAUGCUGGACGUAUCAGAAGUGCGAAUGCUGACAUGAGUAACGAUAAAGGGGGUGAAAAACCUCCUCGCCGGAAGACCAAGGGUUCCUGUCCAACGUUAAUCGGGGCAGGGUAAGUCGACCCCUAAGGCGAGGCCGAAAGGCGUAGUCGAUGGGAAACGGGUUAAUAUUCCCGUACUUCUUACAAUUGCGAUGGGGGGACGGAGAAGGCUAGGUGGGCCUGGCGACGGUUGUCCAGGUUCAAGUGCGUAGGCUGAGAGAUUAGGUAAAUCCGGUUUCUCUUAAGGCUGAGACACGACGUCGAGCACCUACGGGUGUGAAGUCAUUGAUGCCAUGCUUCCAGGAAAAGCCUCUAAGCUUCAGAUUGUAAGGAAUCGUACCCCAAACCGACACAGGUGGUCGGGUAGAGAAUACCAAGGCGCUUGAGAGAACUCGGGUGAAGGAACUAGGCAAAAUGGUACCGUAACUUCGGGAGAAGGUACGCUCUCGACGGUGAAGUCCCUUGCGGAUGGAGCUAUUGAGAGUCGCAGAUACCAGGUGGCUGCAACUGUUUAUUAAAAACACAGCACUGUGCAAAAUCGUAAGAUGACGUAUACGGUGUGACGCCUGCCCGGUGCCGGAAGGUUAAUUGAUGGGGUUAGACUUCGGUCGAAGCUCUUGAUCGAAGCCCCGGUAAACGGCGGCCGUAACUAUAACGGUCCUAAGGUAGCGAAAUUCCUUGUCGGGUAAGUUCCGACCUGCACGAAUGGCGUAAUGAUGGCCACGCUGUCUCCACCCGAGACUCAGUGAAAUUGAAAUCGCUGUGAAGAUGCAGUGUACCCGCGGCUAGACGGAAAGACCCCGUGAACCUUUACUACAGCUUGGCACUGAACAUUGACCCUACAUGUGUAGGA